rnacentral:rRNA from 1 species
AAUGGGGGCAACCCUGAUCUAGCCAUGCCGCGUGAGUGAUGAAGGCCUUAGGGUCGUAAAGCUCUUUCGCCUGUGAUGAUAAUGACAGUAGCAGGUAAAGAAACCCCGGCUAACUCCGUGCCAGCAGCCGCGGUAAUACGGAGGGGGUUAGCGUUGUUCGGAAUUACUGGGCGUAAAGCGCGCGUAGGCGGAUUAGAAAGUUGGGGGUGAAAUCCCGGGGCUCAACCCCGGAACUGCCUCCAAAACUGCUAGUCUAGAGUUCGAGAGAGGUGAGUGGAAUUCCGAGUGUAGAGGUGAAAUUCGUAGAUAUUCGGAGGAACACCAGUGGCGAAGGCGGCUCACUGGCUCGAUACUGACGCUGAGGUGCGGAAGUGUGGGGAGCAAACAGGAUU